ACUGUAUUUUCCCUGCCUGCCGAACGUAAAACAGAAUUGUAUUUAUUACCACCCUUUCUGGUUUGACCGGAGUGCCAAUGAAGGCGGGGGAGGGAGUGCUGUGGAUGGUUCUGGAUGGUCAGCUGUGCAGUGGGGGUCUUGGCAUGCAGCCUGGGGCAGACCUGCCUCGUACAUCCCAGGUAAAAUACGGGGGGCUCAGUAUUUUGGGGGGGGCAGUAGGCCAUAAAACACUGGCACUUCAGUAUGUUAAAAAUCCACUUCAAUUAAAGCAAAAGUUUUACCUAUUUUAUAUAAAAUACUUCUAUACCGUAUGGUCACUGAGUUUAAAGAAUGCCUUUUAUUUAAGUAGGUGCGAUGGACCUACUGCCCCCAUAAUGAGUCC